AUUGAACGCUGGCGGCAGGCUUAACACAUGCAAGUCGAGCGGAGAUGAGGUGCUUGCACCUUAUCUUAGCGGCGGACGGGUGAGUAAUGCUUAGGAAUCUGCCUAUUAGUGGGGGACAACAUUCCGAAAGGAAUGCUAAUACCGCAUACGCCCUACGGGGGAAAGCAGGGGAUCUUCGGACCUCGCGCUAAUAGAUGAGCCUAAGUCGGAUUAGCUAGUUGGUGGGGUAAAGGCCUACCAAGGCGACGAUCUGUAGCGGGUCUGAGAGGAUGAUCCGCCACACUGGGACUGAGACACGGCCCAGACUCCUACGGGAGGCAGCAGUGGGGAAUAUUGGACAAUGGGCGGAAGCCUGAUCCAGCCAUGCCGCGUGUGUGAAGAAGGCCUUUUGGUUGUAAAGCACUUUAAGCGAGGAGGAGGCUACUGAGACUAAUACUCUUGGAUAGUGGACGUUACUCGCAGAAUAAGCACCGGCUAACUCUGUGCCAGCAGCCGCCGUAAUAC
rnacentral:rRNA from 1 species